GAGUUUGAUCAUGGUUCAGGACGAACGCGGGCGGGCGUGGCCUAACACAUGCAAGUCGACGAAGCCAUUAAUUUCGGUUAAGGGCUUGGUGGCGGACGGGUGAGUAACGCGUGAGGAACCUGCCUUACAGGGGGGGAUAAUGUCUGGAAACGGACACUAAUACCGCAUGAUAUUCCAGCAUCACAUGAUGCAGGGAUCAAAGGAGCAAUCCGCUGUAAGAUGGACUCGCGUCCGAUUAGCUAGAUGGUGAGAUAAAGGCCCACCAUGGCGACGAUCGGUAGCCGGACUGAGAGGUUGAACGGCCACAUUGUGACUGAGACACGGCCCAGACUCCUACGGGAGGCAGCAGUGGGGGAUAUUGCACAAUGGAGGAAACUCUGAUGCAGCAACGCCGCGUGAAGGAAGACGGUCUUCGGAUUGUAAACUUUUGUACUCAGGGACGAUAAUGACGGUACCUGAGCAGCAAGCUCCGGCUAACUACGUGCCAGCAGCCGCGGUAAUACGUAGGGAGCGAGCGUUGUCCGGAUUUACUGGGUGUAAAGGGUGCGUAGCGGCAGGACAAGUCAGCUGUGAAAGCUAUGGGCUUAACC
rnacentral:rRNA from 1 species